AACCCCAUGGGUCAUGUACAGGUUAGUACCACGCUCUACCAACAACCCCAAGGGUCAUGAAGAGGUUAGUACCACGCUCUACCAACAACCCCAAGGGUCAUGAAGAGGUUAGUACCACGCUCUACCAACUGAACCCCAUGGGUCAUGUACAGGUUAGUACCACGCUCUACCAACAACCCCACGGGUCAUGAACAGGUUAGUACCACGCUCUACCAACAACCCCACGAGUCAUGAACAGGUUAGUACCACGCUCUACCAACUGAACACCACGGGUCAUGAACAGGUUAGUACCACGCUCUACCAACUGAACCCCACGGGUCAUGAACAGGUUAGUACCACGCUCUACCAACUGAACCCCACGGUCAUGAACAGGUUAGUACCACGCUCUACCAACAACCCCAAGGGUCAUGAACAGGUUAGUACCACG